UAGGGAAUCUUCCGCAAUGGACGAAAGUCUGACGGAGCAACGCCGCGUGAGUGAAGAAGGAUUUCGGUUCGUAAAACUCUGUUGUUAGGUAGGAAAAAAUGUAUAGUAACUAUAUACAAAAGAGACGGUACCUAACCAGAAAGCCACGGCUAACUACGUGCCAGCAGCCGCGGUAAUACGUAGGUGGCAAGCGUUGUCCGGAAUUAUUGGGCGUAAAGCGCGCGCAGGUGGUUUAGAAAGUCUGAUGUGAAAGCCCACGGCUCAACCGUGGAGGGUCAUUGGAAACUAAUAAACUUGAGUGCAGGAGAGAAAAGUGGAAUUCCUAGUGUAGCGGUGAAAUGCGUAGAGAUUAGGAGGAACACCGGUGGCGAAAGCGGCUUUUUGGCCUGCAACUGACACUGAGGCGCGAAAGCGUGGGGAGCAAACAGG
rnacentral:rRNA from 1 species